AAUCUACUCCCUCCGUCCCAAAAUUCUCGUCUUAGAUUUGUCUAAAUACGGAUGUAUCUAGUUACGUUUUAGUGUUAGAUACACCCGUAUCUAGACGAAUCUAAGACAAGAAUUUUGGGACGGAGGGAGUAAUAA
rnacentral:pre_miRNA from 1 species